ACGUUGGAUACUGGAGCGGGGAAGGAUUUCGUGCCAACGGCACUCGUACACGAGUUGUUCGGAUACUGAGCACAACGUUACACCGUUUUGUUAGGAAAGUGAAGGUGCGUCGGCGGCGUGCGUUUUUUUUUUGGUUUUUUUUUUUUUUUUAAAAAAAAAAAAAAAAAAGGCGCCCCCCCCUGGGCCUUUUUGAAAAGGGGGAAAAA
rnacentral:rRNA from 1 species